rnacentral:rRNA from 1 species
GUGCCAGCAGCCGCGGUAAUACGUAGGUGGCAAGCGUUGUCCGGACUUAUUGGGCGUAAAGCGAGCGCAGGCGGUUUUUUAAGUCUGAUGUGAAAGCCUUCGGCUCAACCGAAGAAGUGCAUCGGAAACUGGGAAACUUGAGUGCAGAAGAGGACAGUGGAACUCCAUGUGUAGCGGUGAAAUGCGUAGAUAUAUGGAAGAACACCAGUGGCGAAGGCGGCUGUCUGGUCUGUAACUGACGCUGAGGCUCGAAAGUAUGGGUAGCAAACAGGAUUAGAUACCCUGGUAGUCCAUACCGUAAACGAUGAAUGCUAAGUGUUGGAGGGUUUCCGCCCUUCAGUGCUGCAGCUAACGCAUUAAGCAUUCCGCCUGGGGAGUACGGCCGCAAGGCUGAAACUCAAAGGAAUUGACGGGGGCCCGCACAAGCGGUGGAGCAUGUGGUUUAAUUCGAUGCAACGCGAAGAACCUUACCUGGUCUUGACAUCCACGGAAGUUUUCGGAGAUGAGAAUGUGCCUUCGGGAACCGUGAGACAGGUGCUGCAUGGCUGUCGUCAGCUCGUGUUGUGAAAUGUUGGGUUAAGUCCCGCAACGAGCGCAACCCUUAUCCUUUGUUGCCAGCGGUCCGGCCGGGAACUCAAAGGAGACUGCCAGUGACAAACCGGAGGAAGGUGGGGAUGACGUCAAAUCAUCAUGCCCCUUAUGACCUGGGCUACACACGUGCUACAAUGGAUGGUACAACGAGUUGCGAACUCGCGAGAGUAAGCUAAUCUCUUAAAGCCAUUCUCAGUUCGGAUUGUAGGCUGCAACUCGCCUACAUGAAGUCGGAAUCGCUAGUAAUCGCGGAUCAGCAUGCCGCGGUGAAUACGUUCCCGGGCCUUGUACACACCGCCCGU